rnacentral:rRNA from 1 species
UACGAAGGGGGCUAGCGUUGCUCGGAAUCACUGGGCGUAAAGGGUGCGUAGGCGGGUCUUUAAGUCAGGGGUGAAAUCCUGGAGCUCAACUCCAGAACUGCCUUUGAUACUGAAGAUCUUGAGUCCGGGAGAGGUGAGUGGAACUCCGAGUGUAGAGGUGAAAUUCGUAGAUAUUCGCAAGAACACCAGUGGCGAAGGCGGCUCACUGGCCCGAUACUGACGCUGAGGCACGAAAGCGUGGGGAGCAAACAGG